AAGAAAAAUUUUUGCUCUCAAUGAGCUUGCAUUUAAGCAUCUAUAAAAGGUGUCCACAGUGCCCAGAUGUGUGGUCAAACAUUAUCCUGGAUGUUUCUGUGUUUUUAGGUGAGAUUAAUAUUUACUCAGUGAACUUUGAAUAAAGCAUUGGGUGCUUCAUUAGGUGGAUGAGUCUCAUCCAAUCAGUUGAAGGUGACUGAAUAGAACCAUAGAUCGACCUCACAUAAAUGAGAGGGAAUUCUGCAACAGAUCAUCUUUGCCUUUGAACUGCAGCGUGGACUCCCCUCUGUGUCUCCUGCCUGCCAGCCCACCCUGCAGAGUUUGCAUUUGCCAGCCUCCACAAUCAGGUGAG
rnacentral:lncRNA from 1 species